UCCACCUCCCUCCCCCUGCACUCUCCAAGGCUGAAAGGCUCCACACCGAGUUAGGGAACCGGAAGAGGUGGAGAAAAAGAGGAAACCCCCGAGAGGAAGCUGCCUCUGUAACAGGAAGAGAGCCCUGGGGGUGGUUGUCCUCACCAAACCAGGCUCAUGUGGGUCACACCCACUCCAGUCACCCAGGAAGCCCCUACUCACCUGCUGCAGCCCGUUCAGACACAAACUUCUCCUCACUCCUUGGAGGACAGAUUUUUGCAGACUCUACAGUCACUGUUCUCAGCAUCCUGACAGGACUUCUUCCUACCUUCCCUAAGGACCUCCAUUUUCAGGGUGUCAUUUACUUGGUUUUUCUCACCAUUAGACUCUGGUAAGCAUGUUUCAGCCCCAGGGCCUUUGUGCCUGCUGUUCCUCCACCACUAUGCCCUUUUCUGUAUCAGAGUCAUUCCUUCAGCAUUGGUGCUUCCUCUUGGGGAGACCUCUAGGAUUCACGCACACAUGUGUGCACACGCGAGUGCGCGCGCGCGCGCACACACACACACGAGCAUGUACACAUAAUACACACACCCCUUUUUGGCAUGUGCAGAGAGAACACAGAGGUUGACAUCAGGAUGUGUUUUUUCUUUUUAAAAAUAAUAGCUUUUAGGAGUUGGGGAUUUAGCUCAGUGGUAGAGUGCUUGCCUCGCAAGCACAAGGCCCUGGGUUUGGUUCUCAGCUCCGGGAAAAAAAAAAAAAAGUUGCUUUUUAUUUCUAUUCACGUGUAUGUCUGUGUGCCAUGUGCUCAGAAAGGACAGGAGAGGAUGUCAGAGCCCUGGAGCUAGAGUUACAAGCAACUCAAAGCUGCGGGAUACAAGUGCUGGGAACCGAACUCAGGUUCUCUGCAAGAGCAGAACUUACCCUUAACCACAGAGCCAUCUCUCCAGCCCCCGGGAUGGCUUUUGUCUUUUGCUCUUCGAUCCCUCUCUCCUCACUGCUUUCUGUUUCUCUCCCCUCAGCUCCACCUUCUGCUUUCAGAGUCAGGGCUCUCUCUGUACCUAGAGGUUCCUACUCACCAUUCUGUGUAGACUAGCUGACCAGAAAGACCCUGAGGUCGGGCUGCUCCUGUCUCCAUCCUACAGCACCAGGGUGACAGAGCCUGGUGCUCAGGAGAAUGGACCCAGGAAUGAAGACUCUUCCCAGCCUCCCAAGGGCUUCUAACAGGGACCCAGGAAGGAAUGUGAGGGUCGAGGAUGGCAAAGUGGCCUCUUCUGAUGUGAAGUUACAAGAAAGCAAAUUCUGGUUUGGUCUUCUAGAAACCUCCACUCACUGGCAUGGGCAUAGACACAGCAGGGUAGACACCCAGGAAUGUGUCACACCAGGAGGCUGUUCACUAGUCCAAUGUGGAUGUCCCUGCUAUUGGAUAGCAACCCAGCUAUGGGGUCCCAAAUAAGGCUUCCUGCUCCUUCCGAAGAGGUCAUUAUCAAAGAUGCUCGGGGGUUGGGGGGGGGGCUGGACCACCACAGUAAGCAUUAGACCUUUUACAAUCCUCUGCUUCCAGAUGGGACCAGAGGGACAUCUGGGCACCUAGUUCCCUGUAGUGGGGGAGACCGAGGGAGAGCAUACUGCCCUACAGCAUUUACCUAGGAGGAAGUGACAGUAUCCCACAGGGACAGAGGUCUGGCCAACUAACAUGCAGCAUGACCAAGAAGAUGACCAACCCAGUCACACCAGGCACUGGCAAUGGGGAGGGCUGGAGAGAUGGAAGGCAGAGCAGGGCUGGAGAGAUGGAAGGCAGAGCAUGUCCACCCCCCAACUCAGCUUUAUAGAAACCUCAGAAUUAGCUAGUCAAAAAGCUCAGGACUAGUCGGGCGGUGGUUGCGCAUGCCUUUAAUCCCAACACACAGGGAGGCAGAGCCAGGCGGAUCUCUGUGAGUUCAAAGCCAGGCUGGGCUACCAAGUGAGUUCCAGGAAAGGUGCAAAGCUACACAGAGAAACCCUGUCUUGAAAAAAACCAAAAACCAAAAAACCAAAACCAAAAUAAAACAAAGCUCAGGACCCCAGUGAAGCUCACCUAUACAUUAGAAGCUCAAGGCUGAGCCAUAGGAACAAACACAUCAUAUAAACACACAGUCUUGCUCCUGGGGACUGAGUAUAAACUAUGAAUUGACUCCCUCUUCUUGUUUUUAAGACAGGGUCUCUUGUAUCCCAGGCUGAACUUGAACUGGACCUUGAACUCCUGAUCCUCCUGCCUCUAUUUCCCAAGCACUGGGAUUAGAGCCAUGCACCACCAUAUCCAUUUUGUGCGGUACUGAGGGACAGAAUUUAGGGCUUUGUGCAUCUUAGGCAAGCAUGCUACCAACAACCCCAACCCCAGCCUAUCCCCUGUCUGCCUGCCCCUCUCUCUCCCUGUUUCUUGUGACACUGUCUUUCUACACAGCCCAGGCCAGCCUUGAACUCAAGAUCCUCUUUGAGAUUACAGGAGCACAGCCUGCCUUGCAUGCUCUUUUGAAGGGUGUGUAACACUUCGCCGCAAGCUGGAGAUGGGCUGAGACCUCUGUCUCCUCCCACCAGCCCCUCUACAGACGGAAGCCUUGUGCGGUCAGUUCUGGUGGGAUGGGGCCAGCAGAGGCCUCUCUGCCUUGCUGCCGGGCACCCAGGCUCAGGUUGGCACACCGGCCCCAGGCUUUACGCGGUGGGUUCUUCGGGGCUCCUGGGCUGGCUGUGGAAUGACUCACACAUGGAUUCCUGACUAGGAGGGAUGAUAGUUCAUAUUAACAAUGCUCUGAUGCUGUAGGCCAAUAAGAGCCUUUCCCCAGCGGAAAAGGGAAUGGAACAGGCCUUCCAGGACUGCCUCUGUACAGCUAGUGACUCGGGCUGCCUUGGCCUGUGGCCAGCACCCAACACUCCUGGGAGGGCCUAGCAGUAACCCCAGGGUGCUGAGCCAGGCCUCGCAUUAAGCAGGUAGAUUACCUCUCAUUGCUCCUGACCCAGCCUCUUUAAAAGGGCUGCAGUCCAUGGCGCCAGGCCAUAAAAGGGCAUGCGGGCUUGGUGGUCCCUGGGGCAGACCCUGCCCGCAGCCUUCCCUUCGAGCCAUAUGUUCCUGGCUGGCUUAACUUCUCUGGCUCCAGGCUUCCCAGCUGUAAACUGAGAGCGAAGGUCCCCGUGUGUUGAGUUUAGAGCAUAACUAUUUCUAUGACAGGAAGGGAAGUGGGAGCCACGAGGAGAUGGAGACGAGCUGAAACCCCAGGAAAACGCAGGGUGGUGGAACUGGCUGGACCUUUACUAUGAAUGAUCCCAGACUCGCUCAGUGACUCCAUCAGAGUACUGAGCGGCGGGAGGCCGCAGGCCCCGAAAACUGCUCUUGCCGGUCAUAUCUAGAGCAGUAGCAUUAAGAGCCAUGUCCUGUGCAGGCAGAGAGCCUGGGGUCACAGUGAUCUGGACACGUCCCUGGGGUGGGUGGGGCCGUGAAUGUUCUAACUCCUGUACUUCAAAGAGGAAAUGAGCGGAAGGAAGGAAGGAUGCAGUCAGGCAAACAGGAGGGCAGGGAUGGCGGAGGCUCUCACUGGCUAAGGGGAAGGUCUAGUCCAGGGCCCAAGCAGCAAGGGCUUCAGGAGGAGGAAGGCCCCUUCUCUAAGGUCGGGUGUGCCCGCUGGGAAGCCCAUGCCUACCGCUUGGGAAUAGGACCCUAUGGUAAGGGAGAGGGAACCUCAGUCUGUGACUCCAUUUCACGCCACACACAUUGCAUAGUAUGCACACGUGCACACACCCACCCCUCACACAAUGAGGUGUUGUCUCCCUGACUACCCACAGUCUCCCAUCCCCCCCUGGCCCCAGUGACAGCCCAAGAGAAACAGCUGUUAGGAGUCCGCAGAGCACCAGGUCGGACUGCGUAGGAUUUCCCCCUGGAACGCACUAUUCUUACAAGAUUAUGGUGAGUUCACUUAUUCAUCCACUUCUUCCCCUGCUGUUUGCACUGUUACCAGGUGUGCAUGGGUUUGGCCAUAACCUUGGGCAGCUGGGGAGAAAGAUGGCUGAUUGAUGUCCAGGGAAGAGGAUGCGCAGAGGGAGCCCCAGGGUGCUCAGAGGCAUGCAGCUAUGAAAGAGAGCAUGGGAAUGUGUUAGUUACCUAGGGUGCAUCAACCUGGGGGGCGGGGAAGGGUUCCUGGGGUCAGACUCAGGGUUUUCUCGUAGGGCACAGGGGCCCCUCGCAGCAGGUAAUUUUUCAGGAGCUCGUAGACGCAGGUUUGGGGACCCAAAGUCUCUGUUUCUGCUUGGGGCCUGUCCUCUCUCCAGGAGCACUAAGGGGGAUGAGGCAUGACUCACAGUCCACAGUACUACUCAACAGAACAGGCAUAGAACAGCACAGAACAGUCUAGAACAGUACAGAACAACCUGAGUGGAUAAAUGAACGAACAAGGGAUGUGAAGAGGAGGGGAAGAAAGAGGAAAUAAAUGCCAUCAGCCCCCAAGGCAUUCUAUUCAUUUCUUGAAGGUUGUUGGUUCAAGUUUACACAAUCUGGGUGAAACGCUACAGCGUUCAGGCCUGAGAUGUAGACGUUUGUAACGACGGAUUAAAAUGUGGGCACCAGCUCCGCUACCCUGAUCGCUGCCAGCCUCAGAAAGGUCUGGGAGGGCCUCCCUUGACACAUUUACCUCCCUCCCAAGGCUUCUGGGCAGCUUAGUGCCUAAGCAGGUAGAUCAUCUGCUCUAAAAUGUAUCCUGGCCACAGGGCAGGCUCCUAAGGUACCUGAGAAAUCUAUUUCCCUUGUAGACAUGAAUGUCCCUUUCUCGCCCUCCCAGUCGAUAGCAGAAACCUACAUUUCGCCCAGGCCCCUGCCUGAGUGAUGUCUAGAUCCCCACCUCAUGGCUCCCCAGUGUACUGGGGCAUCUGCCCAGUACACUGUGCCCCAAGUGAAUGAGCUUAGACCACAUUGUAACAAUGUGCCCUGGGUAGAAAGACACAAACAAAGAAAUGCCAACUUAUAUAGUAUGGCUGUGGUUUAACACACGGUUCUGUCUUCAGGGCAAGGUACCCCUGUGAUAGGUGGUCCCACAAUGGAGCUUGUAGAUUGGAGGCGGCAAGCAGAGCUCCCCUACCCACUUCACAAACUUUUUUUUUUUUUUUAAGAUCAGAAGAAAACCUCCAGGGAAUCACCUCAGGAGCUAUUUGACUCAUGUCUAAUGUCUUGGGAAGAAAUAAAAUCAAUAUCACAGGGCCAGAAGCCUCGGAGCCAUGGGCAACCCUGUCUGUGAAGCCCCAGUGACAGGCACUGACUGAAUACCUACUCUGUGAAAUCCCAGAGCAAAGCAAGGGGAAUGCACAACUGUGUGAAAUGCUCCCUGUUGGCUGCACAGGAGAGACCUGGGCCCUCUCCUUCUACAUGGAGCCUACGACUGUUCUGCCUGGUCACAUCCAUGCAGACAGGCCUCCAACAUGCUAUGUAGCUGAAGACGACCUUGAGUUUCUGAUCCUCCUGCCUCCACCACGCCAAGAUCCAGGCUGGACUUGCUUACCGGUGGCCCAGGGCAUCCACUCACACUGAACCUGUUUUAAAGCAGAUACUCAAGAAAGGACAGGAAGCGGGUGAGGACAGUGGUUCUCAUCCCUCCGAGAAUUCCACGGUGGACAGAUGAGCGGGCCAAAGUACAUCGUCAUUGUGUGUGGUCUCGCAACUGCCUACACUUUCUCUAGGCAUGACCUUCCUAAAUAAGGUUGGGGAGGACACCCACAGGAAAUGAUACUGCCAAGUCAUUGUUGUGCUAAAAAUAAGCCUCGACUUUCAACACAGGGAAGAUCACCCUUCACUGUUCCCUACCCUGUGACCAUGUGGGUCCAUGGGAGGGGUCUACUCCAGGAAGGCCAGGGUCAUCUAAGAUGAGCUGGUCAUCCCAAGGUGGGGAUCAUCACAGAGGGGGGUCAGCUUAGUUGCACUAAGUCCAAUAGCACACCCAGUCUCCAGCCGUUAACCUAGACUCUUCUAGAACAGUGUUUCUCAACCUUCCUAAUGCUGCAACCCUUUAAAACAGUUCCUCAUGGUGUGGUGACCUCCAGCCAUAAAAUUAUUUUUAUUGCUACUUCAUAACUGUAAUUUUGCUACUGUUAUGAAUCACAAUAUAAAUAUCUGAUAUGCAGGA